UGGGGAAUAUUGGACAAUGGACCAAGAGUCUGAUCCAGCAAUUCUGUGUGCACGAUGAAGUUUUUCGGAAUGUAAAGUGCUUUCAGUUGGGAAGAAAGAAAUGACGGUACCAACAGAAGAAGUGACGGCUAAAUACGUGCCAGCAGCCGCGGUAAUACGUAUGUCACGAGCGUUAUCCGGAUUUAUUGGGCGUAAAGCGCGUCUAGGUGGUUAUGUAAGUCUGAUGUGAAAAUGCAGGGCUCAACUCUGGAUUGCGUUGGAAACUGUAUAACUAGAGUACUGGAGAGGUAAGCGGAACUACAAGUGUAGAGGUGAAAUUCGUAGAUAUUUGUAGGAAUGCCGAUGGGGAAGCCAGCUUACUGGACAGAUACUGACGCUGAAGCGCGAAAGCGUGGGUAGCAAACAGGAUUAGAUACCCUGGUAGUCCACGCCGUAAACGAUGAUUACUAGGUGUUGGGGGUCGAACCUCAGCGCCCAAGCAAACGCGAUAAGUAAUCCGCCUGGGGAGUACGUACGCAAGUAU
rnacentral:rRNA from 1 species